rnacentral:lncRNA from 1 species
ACAUUAAAAUGGCUUUUGUCAAUAUUGGAAUCUUUCUUGAACUUGGCCUUGUAAAGUUGGCCAAGGGCUUCACUUUGCGUCUUGAUACCACCUCCAUUGAUUUGAGACACAAUGGUUGAAAGGAAAAAAGUGACCAAUAAAAGAAGAGAAAUAUUAUUGGUGGACUUGAAUGUCUCCAUGAAAAGUAAUAUUUGUUUGUUUCUCUUUUGAGCAACUUUAUUGGAAAGUAUAAAAGAGAAGAGCUUUUAUUGGGUUUUUAUAUCAUUUCAGAUGCAUGGGAUUCUCAACAGAAAAAACAACUAGGAAUGGAUCACAUAUAAUAAUACAAAAAUCAUUACUAAAUGGAGUAGUACUUUAAAUUGGAAAACUCUCUACUUUGCAGCAUAUGAUAUAUUUAUCCUAUAAGAAGUUUGAAUUGGAUGAGAUGAUAGAAAAAAAGAGCUUAAU